GUAGGUGGCAAGCGUUAUCCGGGAAUUAUUGGGGCGUAAAGCGCGCGCAGGCGGUUUCUUAGGUCUGAUGUGAAAGCCCACGGGCUCAACCGUGGAGGGUCAUUGGAAACUGGGGAACUUGAGUGCAGAAGAGAAAAGCGGCAUUCCACGUGUAGCGGUGAAAUGCGUAGAGAUGUGGAGGAACACCAGUGGCGAAGGCGGCUUUUUGGUCUGUAACUGACGCUGAGGCGCGAAAGCGUGGGGAGCAAACAGGAUUAGAUACCCUGGUAGUCCACGCCGUAAACGAUGAGUGCUAAGUGUUAGAGGGUUUCCGCCCUUUAGUGCUGCAGCUAACGCAUUAAGCACUCCGCCUGGGGAGUACGGUCGCAAAGACUG
rnacentral:rRNA from 1 species